GGACCUCCAGGACUGACUGGACCUCCGGGACCUCUGGGCCCUAAAGGGAAACAAGGACCUGAAGGGAGACGAGGAAAGAAAAAACAAAAGGGUGACGACGGUCCGAUCGGGAAAGCAGGGAAGAAAGGACGC